ACAGACAGAUGGGACCCUGAUGGGAUGGGGCGAGGUGCUGCUCAGGACCCCGGGAGAAGGUUUGGUGUCUGUGAAAACCCCUGGCAGGGUACCAAGGUGUGCCACAGCCCCACUGCCACCAUCCCUGUGAGCACUGGGGGCUGGAGCUGCAGGAUUUCCUGGCAGGCCCUCGUCACAGGAUGAGCUGGAAUGGACCAGCAAGGCAGUGGGGGCAUGUGAGUGCCAGAUGGACAAAUGGACAAACCCCUGGGAACUCCUCACAUGGAGGAGAAAUAAGACCGGCUGCACUGAAAAAAUAAAACCCCUGACAUGAAGCCGACAGCUCUUUGUUCUUCCUCUGGAUACUCUGGAGCUGCUGAAGUCCCUUCUUCCCAGCACUUGCAUCCCAAAUGGAAAGUUUGUUUGUUCUGUGAUGGAAAAACAACUUCCAAGAUGCCGAUUCCCUGAAUCUAAGUGACAUUCAAGCACAGUUCUCCUGAGAUGUGACCCUCAGGCAGCAGUUGCAGUCAGCUUCUAAGGACAGCUGCAAUUUCCUGGGAGAACUUGCAUGGAGAGGGGAGCUUUCCAUCCCUAAAAGCUGCUUCUUUCACAGAAAACCACUCAAAGCAGUACAAAGACACACAGGACACACAGACACGCGCUGAAGGUUAAAAGCAGUGCCUCGAUUUACUGUGGGACUAGAAACACCACACAACCUCCUCCCCCAGACCUCUCCACUUCUGGAGCCCAAGGCCAGCUGUCUCCUCCCUCCAGCCCUCUGCUUUCCAACAUCUGGCAAAGGUCAAAUGACACAGCAAGCUGGGACACAUGCAGACAGUUAAGCCAAUUUUUGCUGAAGUCAUGAUUGAGUUCCUGCAAAAUAAAUACGUAAACAAAUAAAUGAAUAAAUGAAGGGGAAAGAACAGCAAGGCCCAGAGCAGAUAAUGUUAUACAGAGAUGCCCUCUGCCGGUGAAGCAGGAAGAGGGCCAAGGAAAUCUAUCCAGCAGAGCCAAGGAUUUCCAACUUCCCUCCCUCCUUUUACAGAUGGGCCCCUAAAAACAUUCCCUAUGUGAUGUGCAAAAUUUAAAUUUAGUGGAUUUUUAGCCUGACUGCUGAAAUGAUCUUGCAAGAGCAGUUCAAGCCCCCUGCUCUCCUUUGUUUUGGGUCUUAAGAUCCUUGGAUAUGUCAAAGAGCUUCAGUUAAAAUGCAACAGGAAAACAAAGGCAUCCAGAGAAAUGUUCUGCCACGCUGGCCAGCUGAACAGACUCACCAGCUGCCUUGAUGUCAUAUAAGGAAAGAAAUGGGAAAACUGGGCCAGGAAAAGUGACACAUCCCCCUUAUUUGAGACUGACUUUGCUGUAAUAGUUAAAUUCUGCAGACACAUAGUCCACAAGUCCCUGCAAGCUGUAACAGCUCUUGCAGUCAAUACUAGGAAACCAAAAUACACUGAACUAUUUCAGGCACUGAUCAAUUCAGAUCAGCCUCCCUCUGUUGAAGUGGGGCUGUUAUUUGAUUACAGCUAUGAUUUUAAACAAUUGCUAAGAAGCAUGGAGAGCUUGCUCAAAUGAUACAAAUUGCAGCUUUGAAAUCUGUUGUCAGCCUAUUAAGCAAUGCAGAUCUAUUGCACACACAUCACUAUCAGCUCAGCUCUUUCUUGUAUCAAUUUAAUUCCUGCUGGUAUAAAUCCCUGAUUUAAUUUACUGACUGGGAAUUAAAUCAGCAUGAACUGGUUUCAGUGCAUCUGUGCUGGGUAUUUGUGAUGAUCCAACCAGACCAUUAAAAAUAAUCACUGGAUCAGAAAGCUGCACUGACAGAAACAAAUUUUUAGGAGAUGCCAUGUAAUAAUUUUGCACACUAAAGAAUGACACAUGCAGUAAGUGGGCAGCCCUCUCCCACUUUAUUCUUUUCACUGAAAUUGAACCUUGUCUGCCAAUAUAUUUUACAGUCAGCAGAAUUUUGUACAUGUCUUCAUAAUGCUGGAAUUCUGGGAAAAUUGACAGGCUGCAGCCAUCAGUUUUCACUGGAGUAGACAUUGGCCAGGGAAUGUGUGUACUGGGAGCUAUUCUGAAAACCAACAUUUUACACCCAUAAGAGUACCAGGGAGCUGCUGUUUUUCCAUCCUUAAGUGUAGUGGAGGAUUAACAGCCUAAUCAGGAGAAUCAGCUGCUGGAGGUCCUUGUGCUAAGAGCCAGCCCACAGCACCUCACACCCAAAGGGCUCUUUGUGUCCCAUCACCCUCCCUGCUAUUGCUGGGGCCCACCACUCUCUCUGGCCAGCUGUUAAGUGUGUUUGGGAUUUGUUUUCAUGCACAGAAUGCUCUGGCAAACUCUAGGUUCAUCCAGGAAUGGCACAGAGGCUGUGUUCUACCUCUCCACUACAGCCAAGGCUGGGAUCACACAGGCUGUGCAGAACAGCUAAGGGGUCCCUGUGUGUGCUCAGCUGCUUCUCUGACAGGAGGGGUUUGCUGAAGCUGGACCUGCAGGUCUUUUUAAAUCUGUCCUUUCCAGGAAGAUGGCUGUUUUACUGG